UCGGGAAUAUUGCGCAAUGGAGGAAACUCUGACGCAGUGACGCCGCGUAUAGGAAGAAGGUUUUCGGAUUGUAAACUAUUGUCGUUAGGGAAGAUACAAGACAGUACCUAAGGAGGAAGCUCCGGCUAACUACGUGCCAGCAGCCGCGGUAAUACGUAGGGAGCAAGCGUUAUCCGGAUUUAUUGGGUGUAAAGGGUGCGUAGACGGGACAACAAGUUAGUUGUGAAAUCCCUCGGCUCAACUGAGGAAACUGCAACUAAAAACUAUUGUUCUUGAGUGUUGGAGAGGAAAGUGGAAUUCCUAGUGUAGCGGUGAAAUGCGUAGAUAUUAGGAGGAACACCGGUGGCGAAGGCGACUUUCUGGACAAUAACUGACGUUGAGGCACGAAAGUGUGGGGAGCAAACAGGAUUAGAUACC
rnacentral:rRNA from 1 species